CCCCACAUUACCAUGGGAACUGUCUUGUUGUGACUGGAGCCCUUCCUAGGUGUGGGAAAGCAUCAUCUUGCUUCUCUGAAACGGUCUGUGUGGUCAUCACCAUCUUGGCCACUAAAGAAGCAAGA